rnacentral:rRNA from 1 species
UGGCUCAGGAUGAACGCUAGCUACAGGCUUAACACAUGCAAGUCGAGGGGCAUCAGGAAGAAAGCUUGCUUUCUUUGCUGGCGACCGGCGCACGGGUGAGUAACACGUAUCCAACCUGCCCUUUACUCGGGGAUAGCCUUUCGAAAGAAAGAUUAAUACCCGAUAGCAUAAUGAUUCCGCAUGGUUUCAUUAUUAAAGGAUUCCGGUAAAGGAUGGGGAUGCGUUCCAUUAGGUUGUUGGUGAGGUAACGGCCCACCAAGCCUUCGAUGGGUAGGGGUUCUGAGAGGAAGGUCCCCCACAUUGGAACUGAGACACGGUCCAAACUCCUACGGGAGGCAGCAGUGAGGAAUAUUGGUCAAUGGGCGCUAGCCUGAACCAGCCAAGUAGCGUGAAGGAUGAAGGCUCUAUGGGUCGUAAACUUCUUUUAUAUAAGAAUAAAGUGCAGUAUGUAUACUGUUUUGUAUGUAUUAUAUGAAUAAGGAUCGGCUAACUCCGUGCCAGCAGCCGCGGUAAUACGGAGGAUCCAAGCGUUAUCCGGAUUUAUUGGGUUUAAAGGGAGCGUAGGUGGACUGGUAAGUCAGUUGUGAAAGUUUGCGGCUCAACCGUAAAAUUGCAGUUGAUACUGUCAGUCUUGAGUACAGUAGAGGUGGGCGGAAUUCGUGGUGUAGCGGUGAAAUGCUUAGAUAUCACGAAGAACUCCGAUUGCGAAGGCAGCUCACUGGACUGCAACUGACACUGAUGCUCGAAAGUGUGGGUAUCAAACAGGAUUAGAUACCCUGGUAGUCCACACAGUAAACGAUGAAUACUCGCUGUUUGCGAUAUACAGUAAGCGGCCAAGCGAAAGCAUUAAGUAUUCCACCUGGGGAGUACGCCGGCAACGGUGAAACUCAAAGGAAUUGACGGGGGCCCGCACAAGCGGAGGAACAUGUGGUUUAAUUCGAUGAUACGCGAGGAACCUUACCCGGGCUUAAAUUGCAGUGGAAUGAUGUGGAAACAUGUCAGUGAGCAAUCACCGCUGUGAAGGUGCUGCAUGGUUGUCGUCAGCUCGUGCCGUGAGGUGUCGGCUUAAGUGCCAUAACGAGCGCAACCCUUAUCUUUAGUUACUAACAGGUUAUGCUGAGGACUCUAGAGAGACUGCCGUCGUAAGAUGUGAGGAAGGUGGGGAUGACGUCAAAUCAGCACGGCCCUUACGUCCGGGGCUACACACGUGUUACAAUGGGGGGUACAGAAGGCAGCUAGCGGGUGACCGUAUGCUAAUCCCAAAAUCCUCUCUCAGUUCGGAUCGAAGUCUGCAACCCGACUUCGUGAAGCUGGAUUCGCUAGUAAUCGCGCAUCAGCCACGGCGCGGUGAAUACGUUCCCGGGCCUUGUACACACCGCCCGUCAAGCCAUGGGAGCCGGGGGUACCUGAAGUACGUAACCGCAAGGAUCGUCCUAGGGUAAAA